AUUGAACGCUGGCGGCAUGCUUUACACAUGCAAGUCGAACGGUAACAGGCCUUCGGGUGCUGACGAGUGGCGAACGGGUGAGUAAUGCAUCGGAACGUGCCCAAUCGUGGGGGAUAACGUAGCGAAAGUUACGCUAAUACCGCAUAAGCCCUGAGGGGGGAAAGCAGGGGGAUCGCAAGACCUUGCGCGAAUGGAGCGGCCGAUGUCAGAUUAGCUAGUUGGUGGGGUAAAGGCCUACCAAGGCGACGAUCUGUAGCGGGUCUGAGAGGAUGAUCCGCCACACUGGGACUGAGACACGGCCCAGACUCCUACGGGAGGCAGCAGUGGGGAAUUUUGGACAAUGGGCGCAAGCCUGAUCCAGCCAUGCCGCGUGCGGGACGAAGGCCUUCGGGUUGUAAACCGCUUUCAGCCGGAAGAAUACGCCAAGGCUAAUAUCCUUGGUAGA
rnacentral:rRNA from 1 species